UACCUGGUUGCCUGCCAGUAGUCAUAUCUUGUCUCAAAUAAGCCAUGCAUGUGUAAGUAUAACAAAUUCAGAAAAAUGUGAAACAGCGAAUGGCUCAUUAAAUCAGUAUAGUUGUUUGAUGGUAUCUUGCUACUCGGAUAACCGUAGUAAUCUAGAGCUAAUACUGCAACAAACCCCGACUCUGGAAGGGAUGCAUUUAUUAGAUAAAGUCGAACUGCGGGCUUUCCCGUUGCUGCGAUGAUUCAUGAUAACCGACGAUCGAAUACGGUCCCUUGUGCCGGCGACGCAAAUCAUUCAAAUUUCUGCCCUAUCAACUUCGAUGGUAGGAUAGUGGCCUACAUGGUGUGACGGGUACGGAGAAUAGGGUUCGAUUCCGGAGAGGGAGCCUGAGAAACGGCUUUACACAAUCCAAAGGAGCAAGGCGCGCAAAUUACCCAAUCCUGACCACGGGGAGGUAGUGACAAUAAUAACAAUACCGGGCUCAUACGAGUCUGGUAAUGGAAUGAGUACAUCUAAUCCCUUAACGAGGAUCCAUGGAGGGCAAGUCGGUGCCAGCAGCGCGGUAGUCCAGCUCCAAUAGCGGUAUAUUUAAGUGUUGCAGUUUAAAAAAAGCUCGUAGUUGGACUUUGGUGGGUCGCCGGUCAGCCAUCAGGUGUGCACCGAGGUUAACUCGUCCCUUCUGUCGGACGAUGCGCUCCUACCCUUAACUGGGCGGGUCGUGCCUCGGCGUUGUUAC
rnacentral:ncRNA from 1 species